rnacentral:rRNA from 1 species
UACAGAGGGUGCAAGCGUUGUUCGGAAUUACUGGGCGUAAAGGGCGCGUAGGCGGUUCGUUAAGUCCUGUGUGAAAGCCCUCGGCUCGACCGGGGAAGUGCACUCGAAACUGCAAGGCUAGAGUCUCGGAGAGGAUCGUGGAAUUCUCGGUGUAGAGGUGAAAUUCGUAGAUAUCGAGAGGAACACCGGUGGCGAAGGCGGCGAUCUGGACGAUGACUGACGCUGAGACGCGAAAGCGUGGGGAGCGAACAGG